rnacentral:rRNA from 1 species
GCAGUAGGGAAUCUUCCGCAAUGGGCGAAAGCCUGACGGAGCAAUGCCGCGUGAGUGAUGAAGGUUUUCGGAUCGUAAAGCUCUGUUGCCAGGGAAGAACGCUUGGGAGAGUAACUGCUCUCAAGGUGACGGUACCUGAGAAGAAAGCCCCGGCUAACUACGUGCCAGCAGCCGCGGUAAUACGUAGGGGGCAAGCGUUGUCCGGAAUUAUUGGGCGUAAAGCGCGCGCAGGCGGUCAUUUAAGUCUGGUGUUUAAUCCCGGGGCUCAACCCCGGAUCGCACUGGAAACUGGGUGACUUGAGUGCAGAAGAGGAGAGUGGAAUUCCACGUGUAGCGGUGAAAUGCGUAGAUAUGUGGAGGAACACCAGUGGCGAAGGCGACUCUCUGGGCUGUAACUGACGCUGAGGCGCGAAAGCGUGGGGAGCAAACAGGAUUAGUACCCCCUAGAAAUUCA